GACGUGUGGCUGUCGUAAAAACCCUAUUUGUAAACAACCAGCCCUUUAACUCGGGGCUGCGUCAUAAACACGGCGCGCUUGGAAGACCACGAUGUCAUCUUCCUUCUGUCAGGAGGAUCCAAGUGAAGCUACAGGAGUUUCAUUAACGUCAACAACUUGGACCGAACAGUUUGUUUUGCUUGAUGAAGAGCAGGAAGGGCAGCCUGGAGAGAAAGAGAAGCCGGGUUGAGCCCACUACCAUCAUCCACGUACCACGAGGAAGAUGAGGGAGAGAAAUGAUCCUACCAUUAAAGAGACUGUGAAAAGAACGUUGAGAACAUCACCACUCUACAGGAAGACACAGUCCAGUAAUGGGUGUCAGAAGUUCAGUAGUGAACGACAGAAACAAACAAUCCAAAUUACCUGCAGAAAGCCCUUGAUGGACGCUUCAGCUGCAUCGUCAGACUGGUGAGACAGCAAGAUGCCAACUUUAAUGCCAAUUUAUUUGUGUAACAUUCUGUGACCAAAUGUAUAGAUAACUUUUUGUAGAUUGUAAAAAUAGAUAACCCAUUUAUUACAAAAAAACUACACUAGAAUUAUCGCACUGCGUUGUAUGACUCCGCUAACCAGUGCAGUGUCCGUCUACAUAUUUCUACAUAUUUUCUCUCAUAUAAAUGACACUGUAUCUCUUGACAACUGAAACCAUAAGAUGAGGUCAGUGUGGCCUUGACCUUUUUACUUUAAGACAAAUACAAAGUUAGACAAUCCGAAAACAUGCAGUUAUGCCUCCGGCGACUCGCUAUUGCAGAGGCAUUAAAACCGUAGUGUAGUAGAUUGGAUUUUAUUGGUGUUACAUUGGACAUCUUGUAUGGGUACACCAAAAAAUAUAUUUGGUUUCACAUUCUAGAUGGCAAUAAGCAGAGUCAUCAACUCAGGAAAAAUAUUUCUGUAGAAAAGAAAGCCUUGUAUGUGUGUAUGUAUACAUACACACAAACGCACAAUUGAGACGUUUUUGUCUUUUAUCAUAUAUUCUCAGGCAGUACUGAUGCAUUUACUGAGACGGGACGUGAGGGCCUACUCUGCGUGCUCAGAGUUCAAGCCCAGCAGGCUGCAGCGGGCCUGACAUAUUCUGGAACAGCAGCACAGUCUUUGGAUGACUCCUCUGAAGAUGAAAACAUGGCGAGUUCUUCUCAAGAGAAGCAGUACAGGUGUGCCUCAGCUCCACGGUCCCUCCUGCAGCCUCCGCUCCUGAUGCUAACCUCAUGUCUCCAUCACACCAAGCAGCAGACCUGGAUUGACAGACCUUUCUCCAGAGCUGCCCCCUCCCUCUGAAACCCCCCUCUCCAAAACACUAUUUGUGUAGUUUUUAAAGUAUUUUUUGCAUGAGAAUUGUUGAUCAUAACAUUUCCAGCAGAUGCCUUAAUAUAAUGUUUGUGCACAAUAAAU